rnacentral:rRNA from 1 species
UACGUAGGGGGCUAGCGUUGUCCGGAAUCAUUGGGCGUAAAGCGCGUGUAGGCGGUCCGGUAAGUCCGCUGUGAAAGUCGGGGGCUCAACCCUCGAAAGCCGGUGGAUACUGUUGGGCUAGAGUGCGGAAGAGGCGAGUGGAAUUCCUGGUGUAGCGGUGAAAUGCGCAGAUAUCAGGAGGAACACCAAUUGCGAAGGCAGCUCGCUGGGACGUUACUGACGCUGAGACGCGAAAGCGUGGGGAGCAAACAGG